CCCGCACUCUCUGCUCUCUUCCCCGAUCCCCUCCCACGAACCCUAGCAUCCUGGUGCCGCCACCCCUUCCUUCCCCCGUCCGUCCCCACCCCUCCCCCGCGCCGCGAGCCCCUCCCUCCUCUUCAUCGCCACCGCUGUCUCUCCUCUUCCUCCCCGCUCUAGCCCCUCCAUCGUCGCUCGCGGUGGUUCCAGAUCCUGCGCUGGUCGUCCCCAUGGGUGAGGAGGUGCAGGCCAGACCGGCAGCGUGGGGAGGAGCAGUGAGCCAGGAGCCAGGGAGAGGCCAACAUCGGGGACAAGAAGCAGCGAGGCCAGCGGUCCGUCGGGGUGGUUUGGAGGGAGAGGGAGAGGGAGGAGGUCGGCCACGAGAGAAGGAGCAGGCCGGCCCUGCUUCGUCAUGGAGGAUGUCCAGCUGCUCGUCCUCCUCCGCCUCUUCUCCAAGCGUCCAUCCUAUCGCAACUCAGCUUCAGAAUUGGGUGCGUAUGAACAAUGCAAUGGAGGUUAUGUUAAUUCCUAGAGUCUUCUAUGUUCUUUUGUCUCCUGGUGAUUACUUCGAGUGGCUAUGUGAGGAACACAGGUUGCAAUUCCAGUUUCAUCGACGGACUCGCUCGCUGCUCUAGAAGGUGCUUGGGCUUGUUUCUCUGACCGAUUUAUUGGAAUAUCUCACAUGGAUCUUCACUGCCUCAUAUACCUAUUUUUUAUUCUCUCGUCAAUUCCACACGGCCGCUCGUCCAUUGCACGGUACUAGAUGGUCCCUGUUAAGUUAAUUCGAGAACGUUGACCUGGAGUCCUCCUUUUACAUAUUUGGUCUUCUUGGAAUCAAGCAAAAAUUACUAAGAAGCACAUAACUGAUUAUUUCUUCUGCUUAGCCUCAUUUCUGUUAUGCACACAGUUUUCGACUCUAUGCAAUUCUUGGUGCAAGGGCCCCCGCUUCCUUGUUGUGACGUUGCAGCCUUACUGGCCCUUCUGCAGGUAUGCUAGCUCCUUCUCUCCUCUUCUUUCAUACUGAUGCAAAAGGAGAGGUGCAAAUCUGAAGAUUAUCCAAUGAGGUCAUUAGCUCUGAUUCUUUGGAAAAAAGGUUGAGAGCUAUACACAACAACGCUAAAGAUGGAGCAGCCUGCCAUGUAUUAGGGCAUACGCAUUUCUGUUGGGAUUAUGCGGUUGACAAUAUCAGGUAUGUACAAGCGCCUCUGGCAUACCCUCGAGAAAGAAAGCGAAGGAUAAAUGGAGGCCAAGGAUGGUUGCCGUUUUUUGUAUAUUGUGAUGGCUUCAACCCUGAAACAAGAAUAGAAGGGAGCCUGAGAACACUCAGCUUGUGCCAUGCUCUAAGAGAUAGACGGAGUUCUCAACUGGCUGGGAAGAUUUGACAAGAUAUGUGGAGAUGGGGCACGGGGAGGGGAGGGCGAGUCGGCCUGGAGGCCCCGGUUGUGGCUUCGACUAGGCAGGCCUGGGACUCGCGGUGGCGGGCGGCCUCGCGCUGGAGCUGGUCCUGGCGGGCGGCCUCGGCCUCGUCCACACGGACUUCUCCUGGUUGUCGAACCGGUCGAGGGUCAUCCAACUUCUUGUUUAUUAGGCUACUGUUUGAUAAAAUGUAAGAUAUUUCUGUUUGGAAAGGUUUCCUGACGUCCGGACCGGUCAUACUUUUGCAAGAUACAUGCGAGGAUUGUUGUGUCCAACCUGCACAAGAAUGCCAAGAAAUCCUCAGAGACGUAAGCCACGACGCAUGUUUCUGCCAUGAUUUCCUUCUGUUGGAUUUUGUGGAUUUAGGUGUUCAAAAAUUAUGGGCUGUGGAUGCAGGAUUAAGGACAUGUACCUGCACUACAACGAGAGAUCUGGGCUGCUUCUUUGUGGCUUCCAAACUUGAAAUGUUUGUUUGGAAGUUAGUUUAGUUUUCUGUUAUGGAUUCACAGCUUCUCACAUGUACCAUCCUCUUAGACCUUUAGAUUUCCAAAGAAACUAAAUGAAGAUAUCAUGGUAUGGUCUCAAUAGUACAA